GCCAGAUGUGAGGCCUGGGAAGGGCCUUCCCUAGCUGGGGAGAUGGUGCAGUUGAAGCUGCAGUAUUUCAGAUCCAACUGGAAUCACAGGGAUUUCUUGUUUGACUCCUCCCUGAAAUCGUGGAAGAAUCUGGAGUCGGCAGAAGUUUCCAGGAGACCAGGUUUUAACCAGUCUCACCUGUGGGCUUCAUUUCCUCAGAUGGGUCCAGACUGUCAUGUGAUCUUGGGCAGGGGUUUGUUCUCAUUCUCACAUGUGUCUCCAUCACCAUAUGCCCCUUUGGACUUUGACCGGCUGCAAGAAUCAGAGUGUCUGAAAACUGGUAGACUUACACAGCCACCCACAGAGCUGUCCUGCAGGUCCUGCUCAAAGCAGGAUUCUGUUACGGAAGCAGGAGCAGGGAGAGCCACAGUGAUGCCAUUUUAAAUUCGGCUCCAUCUCGACACAAACAGGCACAUUCCUUGCCGGUCGUGACUCAGGGUCAUAAGAUAAUUACAUCUACGAAGAACACAGCCUGAAGAUGCCUGCAAGGACAUGCUCCUACAACAGCAGAAAGUCCAGAUGUCCCAAUACCCAUAACAAUAUACGCUUUCAAAAAAUUAUAGUUAUGCUUUGAUGUACUCACUCACGAAGAUGUCAAGGAUAGCUUUCUUAAAUCAAUAGCAUAAUCAUUGUUGUCAUGCUGUCAGCCCAGCCACACGUAGGCACAGCUUAGGUUAGUCUUUACACAGAUAAGACCCCUAUAUAAGAGAAACUUA